CAGAUAGGAGGCUAGCUUUCCGAGUCUUGCCUGUGAGACAAGGGAAUAUUUUACAAUCACAUUUUAAAAGCAAAUCAAUCAAACGGAUGCAUAAAGUUGUGCUAACAUAAUUGAAAUCUCCAACACCCACAUCCUAUUGUUCAAUUACACUAAAAACAUAAAAUCACCAUUUAUGACAUCGGGUGAUAGAGGGUUAUUAUGGUUCCAUUUUUAUUUUUAGAAAGAAUUCUUAGUCUUAUUAAAGGAAUCAUGAAGACUGAAAUUAAUUGGGUUACAUGGGAAAGAAAUACGCUGUGUCAAGCAGUAAAAUAAAUCUUGGCUUAAGUCUGUGCCCCACUGCAAUCGACGUGGAAAGAGGCUGAUCAUCAUACCGCAUAUUGAUGAGAUUUGUUGGGUUCUCACUGCUUUCGUAGCAUCCUGAGUCUCGGGGUGAGCAUCCACUCAGGCCCUGGCUGUCAACGAGCAGCUUCUCCUGGGAUCCUGACUGGUCGCUGUUACCUAGAGGAGAGAACACGGCAUGAAAUCAACAAGGUGAGUGAAAAGCAGAGGUUUCAGAGUCAACAGAUCUCGACUUUAUCCUCAGUUACUGCCCUGAGCUUUUGGAAGAGAACAAUUUAUCUUAAAAUAGAUGAGAUCAAAAUGAACUAGUGUGAUCACAACUUUUCUUCCAAUAAGGUAUUCAUCGCACGAAGAUAAGUUUGGAGAGAGCACACAGUUGGAAUAUGUUGACACCUUUUAAGUUAGUUAUGCGAACAGAAGCUGACUCUGGCCUUGGGGCUAUGAGGAAAGGAGAAAGGUAGAGUGUUGUUUUGGCAGUGGGGCUCCCAGACCCUUCUGAGUGAUGGCACCAUCAAGGAGAAGCAAAGAAAGAAUAAACGCCCCAUUCACAAGGUGAGAUUAGGUCAUAUGUUUUUCGGAGAUCUGUAAGACUUGUGCUUGAAGACAGUUAUGUUGCCAACUUUCCAAAUUUGGGAGCUAAUAUUAAAGUGUCAAAUGAAAUAAAUUUUAUUAGCAUUUAGGAGCAUUCUUAGCCCUCAGCAACACGUGCUGAGGGCUCUUGUAUUAGCUCAGCAAGAGUAAGGCUGGCAAGACGAGGCACAAACCCCAAAACUCAGGACAGGCCAGUGGCAAAUCUUCUUUUGUUUUUGUUGUUUGGGAUGAGUUAGAGGUUGUUUUUUCUUUUCUGCUUCUCCUUUUGUCUUGUGCCAGCACAUUUUUGUCUCCUGCAUAUAAGUAAAAGCUGGGGAAAGCUUAGGAAACCCUCGAACUUGGAAGCUGAGUAACAGAUACAUGCUUGCUGGUAUAGAUAAAUGGAUGACUGAAAACUGAAUGUCCUCAUUCUGAGUGGAUAAAGAAAAUGCAGUACCUAUACACCAUGGAGUACUACUUGGCCAUGAAAAGGAAAGAAAUAAUGUCUUUGCAGCAAUUUGGAUGGACCUGGAGGCCAUUAUUCUAAGUGAAGUAACACAGGAGUAGAAAACCAAAAUCCACACGGUCUCACUUGUAAGUAGGAGCUAAGCUAUAAGCACAUAAAGGCAUACAAAGUGAUAUAAUGGACUUCAGAGAGUCAGAAGAGGAAGGGUGGGGGGAGUCUAGGGAUAAAAAAACUACACAUUAGGUACAAUGUAUACUACUCAGAUGAUGGGUGCACUAAAAUCUCAGAAUUCACCACUAUAUAAUUCAUCCAUGUAACCCAAAACCACUUAUACCCCCAAAGCUACUGAAAUAAAUAAAAAAUAAAAUAAAGAAAAAAAAAGGAAGACCUCAUUCUGAGGAAGGCUUUUAAAGAGAAGCAUCAUUAUUUGUCAACUGUGCCUCAACAAAGCUGGAGGGGAAAAAAAAAAAAAAGCAGCAUCGGACGCUUCUGUUGAGUGAAUCUGCCCCAAGUAAAUCACGUGGAAAGCCACGAGGGCCUUCAACACCCUAGCAGCAUCACCCGGCAUGUUGUAGAAAGGGCACAUGGAGCCUUACAUGGGACACUGAGGUUACACGCAGAACAUCUUUGCAUUAUUAUGCAGAGUAAGUAAGUGCUUGGUCACAUAAAACAGAAACCAAGAAAACAUUUUCUACACAAAAUAGCUAGUUGCAAUGAUGAAUGGCUUUAUUUUCCUUUCUUUUCAUCCCCCACCAACUUCCCCACUCCAACCACAUACACAAAGAAAAAAAGAAAUCAAUAAGCCAGAAAUGUGAUGCCUUUUCUCAGGUCAUCAAAAUAAAAAUGCGGGGAGGCAGAAGGCUCUGGCAGCUCUCCGGCUGUCCACCACUUCCUGCUUGCAUUUCUCACGGGGAAAGCAUUUUACAGCCCCAACUACAGCAGAGAUCGUGGCAGCGUAAGUCCCUCAAUUAGAAUCCCAAAUUAAGAGUGCUACUUUUAAAGUGACUAAUGAAAAAUUAACUAAUUGGAAGCACAAGAGCAAAUACUGUCCCCCUGACCACCUAAAAGUGGAACAUUCUAGAGCGGUGUCCUCACUGUGUGGAAGAGCCUGUGGCUUUGCAGUGGCCUUUGUUCUGGCCUAGCAUGUUAUUUAGAAAAAUGAUACUUAUAAAAUGAGGGCUUUGUGCUAUCCAUUACAACCCAGGGAGAGGAGUCGGUGUACUCUGUCCCUGGUGACAUGGUUCAGUGCACCACAGUGGCCAAAACAGACUCCAGAGUGCUGGGUGGGAGUAACACAGAAGACCUGCUCCUACUGCAGCAUGGAAGUAUGUGCUGUGCCUGCAUCUUUGGGGACCCCAGCCUCAGCAGACACAGCAGAAUACCUGAAAUUAUUUUGGAGAAGGAGGGGAUCCAUUGUGUCACCUGAAAACCACAGUUGGCGUAAGGAAGGGGGCUAGAAUCGCUGUCUUCAUUAGGGAGAAGAGAAAAAGAGGUGAGGUGCCUCUCCUCUGUAGUGCAGAAUCAAGACCAUGACCUUUUCCCACACUUGUCAGCGUGGGUGCCAAGGUACAAAAGGUAAGAAGGAAGAUAAGCUAGAACGCUGAAAAUUCUCACAGUCAAAUCACAGCAAAGUGCUAGGUUGUGAGGCUGUAACCCCAUUUGAGCAUGACCUGAACUUUGACCUGAAGGGACUCUGCUUGGGCUAAGCUCUCUCUGCCUCCAGCCUCACCAACCACACACACACACACACACACACACACACACACACACACACACACACACACACACAGAAUAUGCUAAGACACCUAUGAAUAUUCCAACAUCAAAAGGUAGUGGUACCCAAAGGCACAUAGCAUUGCCUGGGGAGCAGUUACCUUGGGAAAGAAGAGAAGGGAAUGGGAUUCUUUGAAAGCAGGACUUUCUGUGGGCUUACACCAUAUUUCUUAAAAUGUAAAAGAAAUAAGAAAAUAUGGCAAAACAUUAACUUCAGCAUGUGCAUGCAUAUGUUUGUUUGUUUUCUUUUCCUCUGUACUUUUCUGCAUGUUUGAAAUAAUUCCUAAUUAGAAUUCUUAUACAAGUUAUUGUUUAUACUUAGAAAUGGCUAAGACAGUAAACUUUAGAUUAUCUGUAUUUUACCACAAGUAAAAAUUCUUUUAGCAAUUUGUAAGAGGCUUUCAUUUGCCAGACCUAAGAUAGUGGGUCUGGGCUUGGCGUAAGGAAUAGCCAUCUGACAAUUAGAGUCUUUUCCCAAUGGAACCCUAUAUGAUGGCUGGCAUUUUCCCACGCUUCGAGGGAGGCUGGACGGGUCUGACUUCCAAGUAGUGCUGGAAAUGUACUUUUUGCUCUCAGUUAUGGCUAAGCUAGAAACCUUUCAAGAUCCCUACAUAUCUUCAAAGAUCUCAAUAGACCUCUGCAUCUCCCUAGUGUAUGGAAAUCUUGUUUGACAGAAACCUAUCAUGUUAUCAGUUAGAGGCACUACUUCUUAGCCACGAUGACUUUAACUGUAUUGGAUGUAAAAAUCCUAUAAUGCUAGGAAAAGUCUGGACCCUGACUCUUGGCACUAAUGGGUACUCUGGAACCUUGAAGCCUUUGUUUUAGAACCAAUAAAAGGAAGUACAACUUUAUCUAUCAGGGACGUUCUAAACACCAGAGCAGAAUAGAUCCACAAUGGAAUGUCUGAAGAGGCAAAGAGGUCUUCUUCACCUUCCAGGUUAGCAACCUGAUGGAUAGCGAUACCCUCCUACAAAAUGCUCCUUGGUACAAAAAUCUCAGGAUGUGAUCCCAGGAGGAAUGAUGGGUCUCAGCCAAAGUGGCAUGGAGCAGUCUAAGCACAGAUUCCUGCCUUACACUCAGGAGUUAGCUUUUCUCCUCCAAAGCUGUGGAUGAUAAAGGAAAUGUCAUGGAGAGUAUAUAUAAACCAGCUGUUGGUUGGAUGCAGUGGCUCACACCUGUAAUCCCAGCACUUUGGGAGGCCGAGGUGGGCGGAUCACCUGAGGUCAGGAGUUUGAGGCCAGCUUGGCCAUCAUGGUGAAACCCCGUCUCUACUAAAAA
rnacentral:lncRNA from 1 species